CCCGAUCAAACUCCUACUAUUCGGAGUUUAUAAGUACCCAAUCAAAGUACUUUCGCUAACAACAACCUCGACUAGACAUCGUCUCUCACGAGCCUAUCCUUAUAGUCCAACCAGCCUAAGGUUUGCUAGGUCUACUAAGACUCAACCCUAGGCUCUGAUACCACUAUAAUCUGUCACGCCCGGGUACCAGCGGAAGCAUAUCCGGUACGUGCACAGACCCGCCAUACACCUGCAGUAUAUAAGGCGUCUACAAGAAGCAAGUCGAUAGGAAGUAAAACAAGAAGUCCUAUCCUGAUAUCAGAGCAAAAUACAAGUCGAUAUACAACGAGUAUCAAAUCCAAGUCAAAAUACAAAGAGUAUACAAUCCAGGAUCUCAACAAAAAGGAGAAGUAACACUACUAUAAUCUCAACCCCGAAAGUAAAUAUACAUCACGGGUGUACAAAAAGAAUAGAUACAAUGGUGGUCUCUCUAUAUAUAUAUGGACAUCACCCUCGGCCGUAGCCCGAGUAGCAAGGUGAUCGACUAGCACGCUCCUAGUAGUCCCUAGCUAGGCGCGACUCCCUUGCCACGAUCCCUAGCCUCUCCUGUAACAGGCUCUGUAAAAACAACCACCAAAAGGGCGUGAGAACUAUUAACAAUAGUUCCCAGUGGGUAAGCCGCCAGCCUCGGCGAAUUACACCACUAGGCUCAAGAUGUACUAAAUGAAAGCAAUAACAAUAAUUGCAUGAUUUAUAAGCAUGAUGCUAAUAAGUAAUAAGCAUGUAAUCAACAUGUAAUAGCUUUCUACAGUAAUGAACCAUUUGCAUAAAAGAGAUAUAGCAACUUCUGUAAUCAUAAACAUAGACAUGAGUAUAAGCACGAAUAUAAAAGUGACUACUGUACACUUUAAGUAAUAAACAUUCAUUACUGUCCUUUUUCAUUUAGUACUUUCCUUUCAUUCACAGGGACCUACCCAAGGUAGUCCAGCUUGCGCCGCGCCUAAUGGCCCCGUGGUAGUAUACACUCCCCACGGCAAUCCACUUCGGCACCCAAUCCCGCACGGGCGAGCAACUGUCGCGUAGGCCAACUCCGGAGUGCCGGCUUGUAGGGAGCUACCCUCACAAGCGUGUGCGAAUGAGCACAAUGGCAAGCAAGCAAAAUCCAUUGUCCAACAUGUUUCAAACAUCAUGACAUAGUAUGCUAUGUUCUACUCUCGAUCUAUUGAUCAGAAUUCUCAAC
rnacentral:lncRNA from 1 species